CUUAGGGACGACCUUCUGAUCGUGAUCCUGGCAUCCUGUAGACGCCAUUCUGGUAACGAUCUCGCUUUGUAGAAGAAACGUGACGUCAGUGUUUCUUUCAAGAAGAAGUUGUGAGGAAGAAGAAUUCUAUAUGUUUGUUUUAAAUAUCGUUUUAAAUAUAUUGUUUUAAACUCUUUGACAACGUGUCCCACGUGUUGAAUUCGCUCAUCACACUGUUGUCGACAUUAGCGUUGACUUAUCCAAUAUCGGAAAAUGGAACCAAACUAUAACGCCUCUUUUGGCGGGAGCUUUGAAUGUUAUUACUAUUAAAAUAAGUUAUCGGCAAUAAAUAUGUUUAA